GUCUAUGACUAUACCACCCUGAACACAACCAAUCUCAUCUGAUCUUGGAAGGGAGGGGGAGAGACAUCUGAAGACCUGCCCCCCUGCUUAUGAAGCUCACCCCUGCAGGUGUGGACA
ensembl:rRNA 5S_rRNA 5S ribosomal RNA